UAAUAUGUUUUCUUCCCAUCUUUGCCCUUUUUCCAUAGGAAUUAUUCUGUUCACCAGCUCAGGAAAAAACAAUCAACAGCUGGAAGGUAUAUUCUGCUUCAGAUUUUUGCGCAGAAUUACAAUAUAUUUCCCUUCUUUUUCCUUCUGAGAAAUGCAUUGCGCUCUGCAUUCUCCCCACUGGCACCAUCCUGUAGUUCCAUUUAACUCAGUCCUCCUGUACCCCUUAGGUUUUUGUUGCUGUUUCUGUGAGGUAUAACAGCUCUGCCAUGCUGCUUUUACUUUCAAUAUCACUUUUUUUUUUUUUUUUUCUCCAGCUGCACAGUGGUUUAAAAACCUCUUCACAGAGCACCUUGAAAGCUCUUGAUGUUCAUUUGCUGCAAGCGCAUGGUGAAGCCCUCUUCAAACACAGCCAUUAUCUAAGAAACAGCACGAGAGGAGCAGAAAACCUGGGACAAGUGGACUCACUUGAGCAAACUGGCAAAGGGAUGAGAUGCUCCAGAGUUGCUGGGCUGAAACAUUUGACUAGAUCACAGACAGCAGAUGAGGACAAAUUCUUGACUUCUCUGCCAGCUUGUGGGUUUUCACUGUAUCUGAAGAUGGAUGUGGGAAUGACAGGAAAUGAAAAAUCUUAGAAAUACCAACAGAAUAUAAAAAAUGCUGCAAGGAAGCUGCAUUACUUCUGUUCCUUGCCUUAACCAUAAUCAAAGCAGUUACUUCAGACAGCUUGCUAAUGAAACUGGAUGUUGUUCUCCCCAGUUUUAGCAGCAUUAUAUGAAUUACUGUGUAGAUGCCAACACCACGCAGGCAGUGGGGCAGCUGCAUUGGGUGAGUGAUUCAAGGUGACCAAGCCCCCAGCUCAGGCAAAUAUUGAUCAGACCCCGUUUACAUAAUUGUUCAUAUUCCUCAGCUGCUCUCAGCCACCACAGCCUACCUCAGGGAUGGUAUGCACCCAGAUAAUAAUGCCUAUACAUGAUAGUGGUGACACUAGAGCUUUGAGCAUCUUUGCAUUAGCACAGCCCAACCGCGUGUGCCCAAGGAGGUGACUCCAUAUCACCUCACAGAGGGCCUGGGAGGAGCUGUUAUCAGAGGAAACAUGAUGUUCAUAGCAGAGUAUACAGCGCUGAAUUAAAGACUUCUGCACUAUUCAGAAGAGGUUUCAUAUGCUGUAUCCAGAAGGGGAUUUCAGAGGAAAUACUUCAGCUUUUUGAUGAACCUCUCUUACUUGAGGGACAAGUAAGAGCAGAAGGCGCCAGUGUGGCACAUUUAGCCAUUAUCAGACUCCUCAAGAAGAGGCCUGACUCUCAGCAAUAUGAGAAUACUGCUUUUCGACACAGGCCUGGGUACAGAGGAGAUACACUUCAAAGAGCCUGGCCCAUGGCAAACCCAGCAGGGGAAGGUGGCAGCCUUCAGGAUGAGGCCUGAUGCAGAGUGCUGCCAUGAGGCUCCCCUAGGGCCAGGCUGAAGCCCAGCCCUUGUCCCACAGCUCUCAGAACUGCUGCACAGGACAUCAGCAAGCUGGAGACCUUACAGGAACAUAUCCUCAAAGUUAGCUAAGCCUCCACUUCUGCCUGGUAAAUGCUGAAGCAGAAGAUAGCUGAGAAAAACACAACACACCCCUCACAUGCUUAGAUUUGUUGAGCAAUGGCGCUGCAGACCACAUAUAAAGGCCUCCACCCUCCCAGCACAGCUGCGAUACAAGCUGAGGCAAGAGGCGAGCAGGUAGAAGCCUUGCCUGAUGAUAACUGAGGCGGGUAGCAGAGCAAACCUGCUUCUGGCAGUUCUGCAGCUGGGGUGGGUCAGAAAGCUGGUACCUGGGCCAUGGGGUUGCUUAGAAGCCAGACUGGUGUUUCCAUUACAGAGAAUUGCUAGUGAUCUCCCAUUGCUGUCUCUCACUACUCCUGACAGGGACAUCUUGCUGCCAUGGCUGUGUGAAGCUGGGGAAGCCCUCUCGUGGGCACUUAGAACCUAUGGAGGAAGGGGAAGGAGCAGCAGGAGGAUGGAGACCAGCUCUCCUACUGUGAUUUUUACAGUUUGCCUCCCUGAAGAUCCCAGCUCCCAGCUCCUGGGCACGAAGCCUUUCAUGUCUUGCAAUCCCUGCAAGUGCCUGUGGCUAUGGAGUGUCUUAGCCAAACGUGCACAGCCCAGGCACACGUGCUCUUGGUGGUGAUGGUCCUGGCUGCCCACCGGCCUUUCCCAGCUCUUUUGUAGCCGGACUGAAGACAGACUCACACCUUUGGAAAGCAAACAAAACUUUCUCCUCUUUUCAUUUUUCAUCUUUAUCUUUGAAACUGUAGGUCUUUAUUACUCUGUAUUCCCUGGAGACCUUUCAGAAUUCUGGGGACAUAAAGGAGUCGAUGGGAACAAAGCAAGACGGCCCAUUCUCCCCUCUUAGAUUCAGACUUCUAACAAGAGCUUCCUAUUAGUGAUAAUAAACUACUAAAAUGCAAGUACUUGCAAUUAUUGGCUUACUUUGCACUCACUAAUACUGCUGCCUUGCUCAGGAUUGUUACUAAGAGAUGUGUGGUACUGAUAUGAUUUACCUCCGUGUUUCUGCCACUGCUCAUUGAUUUGCUUUUCUGUAUUCAACUGCAAGAGCCUGCCUUUUGGAGUUUGCAUGGAAACCUGGGACAAGAGGAAGCCCCCUGGUUGAGUGAAGUUUGCUUUGCAGCAUGCACAUCAAACACAACCCACCCAUUCUCCCACCAGGCCUGGCCAUCAUCUCCUCUGAGAGAAUGCAUUAGAAAUGAUCAUUUGGCCACGAGUAAAGGGGAAAAAGUGCAAGGGGAGGUGAGGGCAUGGCCUAGUUCAGGGCUGCCAGCUUGGCUCAGGUGUGAAACUCAC